GAAGAAGAAGAAGUCAUUAUGUUUCUCAUAAAUAAAUUCAAAAAUUACUUACAAAAAUCACAAGAUUUGUUCUUGAAUCUUCAGAAGAGAAUAGGCAUAAAAUGUUUAGAUCCACGAUUCUAGCUUGAAUCUCAUAGAAUACUACGUACAAUAAUAUUCAAAGAUGGAAAUAUGAUAAAGAUACUUAAAUAAAACCUAAACUGGGUAUUUAUAUGUUCCCAGGUGCAGAGGAUUUAAAAUUUAAACUCAUAAAAAGCCACUUCCAAGUUGAUGGUCACAUCGACGGCCCGUCGGUAGACUGACGAUACGUCGAGUGGACCAUCGUUAAGAGUCCCAAAAUGUCAUGUUCUGGAUAGGGGUUGACGGUUAUGUCGGUGGUACAUCGCUGGUUCGACAGCCCAUCACAGGUACCGUUACUUGAUCCUCCAGAUAUCCAGGUUCUGUUCCAGAUUGACGACCAAGUUGGCAAUCCAUCGAGUUACUGACGAUCCACCAUUUGGACCGUCGUAGGGGUUACUCAUGUGCUCAUUUUUGUUUUACUCUGAUGGCACCCUGAUGGUCCGUCGCAUGACUGACGGUUCACCAUAUUGACUAUCAGUGGCCUUUUUCUACUAUUCUUCCAAGUUUCUUCUUCAGCUAACUUCUUAACCUGAAAACACUCAAAUCCAGUAUUAAACAUAACAUCAGUUGCUUGAAAACAUAAAAUUAUCCCUUGGAAAAAAUGAAAAAUAUUCCGUUAAAAGCCGAAACAUCACCUAUCUGUUUAUAUAUGUCUUUGUUUUCAAGUUAUAAGUCAGACAGGUGAUGAUUUUUAUUACUAUAUUCAGAAUACCAUGGCACUUAUCAGUACAGUACCAUGUCAUGUUAAAUCAUUAAUAACACUAGUGUUAUUCAGUUGGGAGUAGGAUUUAGCACCGAGAAGGAAGUAUGGGUUUAGGGCAUCCUAUUUCCUAAAAACUAUGUGCCACCGUAGGUUUAGGGACCUCGCCAGAGAGUGUUUUUCCUUACCCAAAAUGGGCUCAGCUUAGUGACCACUCCAAUUCAGAUUCUACUCUGAUGACAAGGAUAGAACAACCCUCUUCAACAUGGGUUAGACGUUGCACUUCAUGGUAGCUCUCAUGGUUUAUGUUGGUUACAUGAUAGCUCCCACAGUUUCAGUCAGUACUCAGUUGAUCUCAGUUUAGGUUUUCUUAAUCAAGUAGACAGACUUCAGUAUUUAUUCAGUCAAUUUUAUAAAUUAUUUUAGUUAUUCAGAUCAUGUAGUAUAUGCUAUACUUGGUCUUGCAUUGUCAGUUUUACAUGUUCAUGCACCCAUGUUCAGAUUUCACAUAUAUUUUAGUAGUUAUUGUCUCACGUACUAGUACAUUCAAAGUACUGAUCGCAUACUUUUCUCUGCGCUAUGUUGUCUUAUAACAUAGGUUCAGAUGCACAACUCACUAAGCAUCCUUAGACAGAUUAGCAUCCUCCCAGCAGCAACAGUGGUGAGUCCUCAUCUAUCGAGGAUGAUAUUUUUAUUUCAACCAUUUACAAUAGUUACUUUAAUGUCAGUCAGUUGGAGUUAUUUGGAGGCUUUUCCCAUCAACUCCUCAUGUUAGAGGCUUUCAGAUAAUCAGACUAGAUAUUCAGACAAUCAGUUUAUCUUUUAUAUCUUAUCAGUUGUCUUUCAGAUGUCUUAUUUAUAUUCAUAUCAGUAUUUCCUGUUUGGAUUAUAUUUCAUCAGUUUAUCUUCCAUACAUGCUAUUUCAGUAUCUAUUUUAUUCAUUGCUCUCAGCUGGUACAGUACAUAGAUUAGCUUCGGGCCACUUAUGGCAUUAAGCAUUGUAUCACGAUUAGGGGAUAACCUCAGAUCGUGACAAUCUUGCAGAUUAAUUAACCAAGGUCUUGACAAGAUAAAGGGUCUGAAGCACAUCGAGGAAGAGAAAUGAAGUCUAUAAAAAAUCAUGUCAUAUAUGAGGAAAUCCAACCUAGGGACUAGAGUUUCUACAAUCAGAUUUAAUGAAAAGAACGAAUCAUAUAAUGGCUUGAUAUCACGACCCAAAAUAGGAUCAUGACUGGCGCUAAGGAGGUUAGAACUCCAAAGCAAGCCUCAGCAGAAUUCUACAGAAAAUCGAAUAGAGUUUCCCAUAUUUUUGGACCUAUCAAGAAAAUUCUCUGUCUCAAAUCCACAGUACAACAACCCACAUCACAACCAAUCACGUCAAUAACAUCAAUACAAUCCACCAAAAUCAUCAACACCCAUUUACCACAAAAUAACAAUACCAAAUCCAUAUCUCCACCUUAUGAAAAGAAGUCAACAACUUCACAAAAUCAAAAUAACGAAAGAAUACUCAAACUCUAAAGAAGUGACUCUGGAGCGACACUAAGAGUUUCAAGGAAAAGAACAUAACAAAUAAAUUAAUCAUUGCCUAUGCGAACAAAUGCGGGGCUUACCAGGAAUUUGUCACUCGAAUCCUCUAGCUAACAAGAUUCUCAUCGUUACCUGUGUUCUAUGAAAAACAAAUAGCGAGGAAUGAGACGCUAGCUCAGUGAGUAAUAACACUUACCACAACUAUUUUAAUGGGGACAAGUCAUAAAAUAUCAUGAAAUAAAUGGUCUUUCAGAAAACAGUAACAAUAAAUAGUAUCAUUUGUUUUAUGUAAGCAACAUGAACCAAUUGUUUAGCAAUAAACUCAAUAAGCAUCGUAUCAUAUCAAAUAUUACAUAUUUGGGAGAUUUCCAAGAAUGAAUCAUGUAAUCAGUGUGCCAUUCUUCUUCAUCAAGAAUAGCCCAUAACAUUGGACCCCUCAUAAGGAGUCAAAUAUCAUAUCAGUAGGUCCUACUCCAUGCUAGUUCUACUUUCCCACUAGCAAGGGUUGUAACAGUCAUCAGUAAAUACAAGGUGCAUCAGGUCUAACGAUCUCGCCGUUAGCUACGGGAUUCAAAUCAAGGUCUACUCCCAUUUAUAAAUUCUUUGUAAACAAUAGGAUAUUCAUAUGAAAGUAUUUUUCAGAAUAGCACAUAUCAUUUAAAGUUCAUAUUAAGUCAUGUUACAUGUAAACUUGAAUAAAAAUAUAUGCCAAAAUACAUAUUUCUCGUGUAAGUGAAGAAUAUUCACAGUAAUAAUAUCAUAUCUCAAAUAACCAUUUCAAUAUCACAUCAAGUAAACAACUUGCCCCACAUACAGUUUCAAAGCAUUUCGUAACUCAUUGUUUCAUCAAAAUCAAGUAUAAAAUAUGCAAGUUAACAAACACAAAUUAGGGUAAGAUUACUACUCACAGUACAUGUGACGAAAUACCAAAUUUAUCACCUUGAACGAUUUGUAUCACUCUCUUCGAUCAAAUCUAUAAUCACGUUAUAUCAAUAUCGGGUUAAUUCUCUUGUUUAGGCUAAUUCCAUGAUAAAAUUAGACUACCCAACCCUCAGAGUUCCAUGAUAUUCUUAAUUCAUCGAACUUGUAUCCAAAACAACCCUUAUUGUCCAUAAUUCUUGUCUUUAGCAACUAAAUUUCAAUACCCAAAAUAAAUUAUCCAAUCUAAAAAUUACGAUAAAGAUGUAAAAAUGAAUUUACCUUAAACCCAGAAGAAUUUCCCAAUCAAACUCUUACGCUUUUCUUUUCUUUUAACUGAACGAACAAUUGAUUUUUUCCCCUCUUAUUGCAUGAUAGACAGAUUACUUACCACUUUGGUUGCUCCCAAUUGGUGCCUUUCUAACAGAUUAAUGGGAAAAAGUUCCCUUUUCUUUUUCAUUAUAUGAAUAUUGGUAGAUGGGCCAAUUUUAAACCCUUUCCAUCUUUUUGUUUUUUUCUUUUUUAGACUGAGGUAGGCUUAAGCCCUUUAUUUCGUUCUUCCUUUUUAUUUUGGUUUGAUAGAUG
rnacentral:lncRNA from 1 species